rnacentral:tRNA from 1 species
GCAGUGGUGGUCCAGUGGUAGAAUUCUCGCCUUCCAUGCGGAUGGCCCGAGUUUGAUUCCCAGCCGGUGCA